GUAGGGCGCAAGCGUUGUCCGGAAUUAUUGGGCGUAAACAGCUCGUAGGCGGACUGUUGCGUCUGCUGUGAAAACCCGGGGCUUAACCCUGGCCUUGCAGUGGAUACGGGCAGACUAGAGGUAGGUAGGGGAGAAUGGAAUUCCCGGUGUAGCAGUGAAAUGCGCAGAUAUCGGGAGGAACACCGGUGGCGAAGGCGGUUCUCUGGGCCUUACCUGACCCUGAGGAGCGAAAGCGUGGGGAGCGAACAGGAUUAGAUACCCUGGUAGUCCACGCCGUAAACGUUGGGCGCUAGGUGUGGGGUCCUUCCACGGAUUCCG
rnacentral:rRNA from 1 species